GAUGAACGCUAGCGGCAGGCCUAGCACAUGCAAGUCGAGGGGUAACUAGAGUGAUAGCAAUAUUACUUUGGCUAGACCGGCGCACGGGUGCGUAAUACGUAUGCAACCUACCUUAUACUGGGGAAUAACUUCGAGAAAUCGGCGCUAAUACCCCAUAACAUUGCGAAGAGGCAUCUCUUUGCAAUUAAAGCUCCGGCGGUAUAAGAUGGGCAUGCGUCCAAUUAGCUAGUUGGUGAGGUAACGGCUCACCAAGGCUACGAUUGGUAGGGGUUCUGAGAGGAUGAUCCCCCACACUGGUACUGAGACACGGACCAGACUCCUACGGGAGGCAGCAGUGAGGAAUAUUGCGCAAUGGACGAAAGUCUGACGCAGCCAUGCCGCGUGCAGGAUGACGGCCCUAUGGGUUGUAAACUGCUUUUGUACGGGAAUAAACCCUUCUACGUGUAGGAGGCUGAAGGUACCGUAAGAAUAAGCACCGGCUAACUCCGUGCCAGCCGCCGCAGUAAGAC
rnacentral:rRNA from 1 species